rnacentral:ncRNA from 15 species
AUUUAAUAAAAAGAUUUAGGUGCCUUUACAUAAAAGGUGAAAAGGGAAUGUGGUAAAAGCCACAGCAGCCCCCGCUACUGUAAUUGAGGACAAAUCUUUCAUAAACCACUCUUUAAAAAGGGGAAGGGAAAGAUUAGGAUGAAUCAUGAGCCAGGAGACCUGCCUAGAUUUUUAUUAGGGAA